GAGAAUGGCUCCUAGCCUGCUAACAUGUACAGUUUCCUCUGAAUCAUAGCUGUCUAUAUGGUGUGAUUUAUUAAAGAAUUAGAACCUAAGCCUCCACUGUAUGCAAACUGUUUGGAAGCUGAAGGAAGAAAGGAAUGUUCUCUUUCAGUUUCUCCAAAGCUACAUAGGGUGACCAGAAAAGACUUCAUAGGAGAUGACAUCUGAGCUAAAUUUCAAAAAUGAAUAGAAAAGGAAUAGAAGAAAAUGACUUGAAACAUAAGACAUCCCAUGUUCUGAGUCCUGGAGGUGAGAAGACAUGGCAGGUUUGAAGGAGAGUGUGGUUUAUAAGAUGUAUGAGGGAUAGUGGAUAAAUAAAAGUAUUUGGAGCUAGAAGUAAUUGUUUAACCCACUGACACCGGCAUAAGGGAACAUUCUAAUAUGCAAUCAAGAAAAAGUAUAAUAAUAAAGACACAUUCAAAAAUUCUGUCUUACUAUGUUAAUUUUACUUUUAAUAAAAUAGGGUUGAAGCUGGGCUUUAUUACUAGAAUGGUGGUAGACCUUCCCAUCAUAAACAGUAUUAAAUAAAGUGCAGACACUACUUACAUGAAGAAAAGAAAUGAUUCAGACUACAAACCACUAUCUCCCUAUGCAUAGCCUUCUGUAUGAAGGGCAAUAAUUGUAGACAGCAAGAAGCCAUUUGGUAGGUUUCUCCUCAGUAAACCAAACCAGAAAACUUAGGCUUAAAAUAUUUGGGUUUUAUAUAAAAGUGAGUGUCCUAAAGAGUGAAUUUAAGCAGGUAACCAUAAAAAAUACGACAGCUAAAAAUCACUCAGCUAUGCAGGAAAAGGA
rnacentral:lncRNA from 1 species